rnacentral:rRNA from 1 species
GACGAACGCUGGCGGCGUGCUUAACACAUGCAAGUCGAACGGAAAGGCCCCUUUGGGGGUACUCGAGUGGCGAACGGGUGAGUAACACGUGAGUAACCUGCCCUUGACUUCGGGAUAACUUCAGGAAACUGGGGCUAAUACCGGAUAGGAAUCCUUGCUGCAUGGUGGGGGUUGGAAAGCUUCGGCGGUUUUGGAUGGACUCGCGGCUUAUCAGCUUGUUGGUGGGGUAGUGGCUUACCAAGGCUUUGACGGGUAGCCGGCCUGAGAGGGCGACCGGCCACAUUGGGACUGAGAGACGGCCCAGACGCCGACGGGAGGCAGAAGGGGGGAAUAUUGCACAAUGGGCGGAGGCCGGAUGCAGCAGCGCCGCGUGCGGGAUGACGGCCUUCGGGUUGUAAACCGCUUUCAGCAGGGGCGAAGCUUGUGGUGACGGUACCUGAAGAAGAAGCACCGGCUAACUACGUG